rnacentral:rRNA from 1 species
GACGAACGCUGGCGGCGUGCUUAACACAUGCAAGUCGAGCGGAAAGGCCCUGCUUUUGUGGGGUGCUCGAGUGGCGAACGGGUGAGUAACACGUGAGUAACCUGCCCUUGACUUUGGGAUAACUUCAGGAAACUGGGGCUAAUACCGGAUAGGAGCUCCUGCUGCAUGGUGGGGGUUGGAAAGUUUCGGCGGUUGGGGAUGGACUCGCGGCUUAUCAGCUUGUUGGUGGGGUAGUGGCUUACCAAGGCUUGGACGGGUAGCCGGCCUGAGAGGGUGACCGGCCACAUUGGGACUGAGAUACGGCCCAGACUCCUACGGGAGGCAGCAGUGGGGAAUAUUGCACAAUGGGCGGAAGCCUGAUGCAGCAACGCCGCGUGCGGGAUGACGGCCUUCGGGUUGUAAACCGCUUUCGCCUGUGACGAAGCGUGAGUGACGGUAAUGGGUAAAGAAGCACCGGCUAACUACGUG